AAAAACCCCACGGAUUUAGAUUCCCGCUGACCCGCCCCCUUCGGCAGUCAACCCUCCAGCGGCUCCAAAGUCGGGGUUAAUUCAAUUUGAAAAUCCCUCUCUUCCCCGCCGUUCCCGCCGACGUCGCAGCUCCAGUCUAGGGCAAGAAGAGAAGAUAGAGACAGAGAGAGAGAGAGAGAGAAAGAGAAAUGGAGAAGGGUUUGAUCUCGAUCGAUCGGUGGAGCGAGAAGAACCAGGCCUACUUCCUCACCCACCUCCAUGCCGACCACACCGUGGGCCUCUCCCCCCGGUGGUCUCGCGGUCCCCUCUUCUGCUCCCCCAUAUCCGCCCGGCUCUUUCCCUCCAAAUUUCCUGGCUUCGAUCUCUCCUUGCUGAGGGUUCUGGAGGUGGGACGCACCCAUCCCCUCUCUCUCGCCUCCGCGACCCAUGGAUCUGAGGUCCAGAUCCUCGUCACACCAAUCGAUGCUCACCACUGUCCUGGUGCUGUGAUGUAUUUGUUCCGUGGGGAGUUUGGAUGCGUUUUGUACACGGGAGACUUUCGGUGGGAACUGAAAUCAGAAAGGGCUAAGCUGGCGAAGAAAACACUCCUUGAUGCUCUCCGAGGAGAUAAAGUGGGCAAUCUUUACUUGGACAAUACCUAUUGCCAUCCUUCAUUCUCAUUUCCUCCGCGUGAAGUUGCAACCCAGCAGGUAGUCGAUAUCAUUACUCAGCAUCCUAACCAUGAAAUUGUCAUUGGCAUUGACACACUUGGGAAGGAAGCCCUGUUGCUGCAUAUAUCACAAGCUCUAAGUACAAAGAUUUGGGUCUGGCCUGAGCGUUUGCAAAUCAUGCACCUUCUCGGGUUUGAUAACAUUUUUACAACAAAGACCCGUCUUACAAGGGUGCGUGCUGUUCCUCGAUACAGUCUCACCUUUGAGACGCUUGAGGCAUUGAACACAAUACAUCCCACCAUUGGAAUUAUGCCCUCUGGUCUUCCAUGGGGGUUGAAACCCCCCAAAGUAGAUGAUACUUUUGGAACAUCACUUGAAAAUUGCUAUGAAGGCAAAGGGAGUGCUACCAGUAGGAUACAGAUUGAGACAAAUCAGAUACAACCUCCAAGAAAGCUUCAUCAAUAUGCCUAUUCUGUUCCAUAUUCUGAACAUUCAUGCUUCACUGAGAUAGAGGAGUUUCUGAAGAUCAUCCAGCCAUCAGUUGUUACUGGGAUUGUUUCUUCAUCCUUCUAUUACAUUGAUCCUCGUCACUACUUUGGCUAUCUCUGUGGAGUUGGUCAUCUCUUUCAUAAACCUUGCAGAAACUUCAGAUGUGAGAAAGCCAAAAAUGUUGAAGUCAACCAAUGUCAAUCUUUUCCAGGGUGCAGAAGUCCUAAUCAGCUGAAGAAGAGAAAAGAAGGGAGCAUCAAGUUUGCUAGCUUCCGUGUGCGCAGGAGUAGAUUAUCUGCAAUACGAAAGGGAAAACAUGGUGUGAAGAUCAUGGAAAUUGAUUGAAUUUCUGGCUCUUAUCUGAAUGUAUGAAACAUGUAGCCUCUAGUGGAGGAUGAUUGGCUAAUAGAUAUAGCCUCUGUUCUGUACAUCCAGCUAACAAUAGCAAUACAUCAUGUGGGAUCUACAAAUCCAAGGUGAAUUAGUUGCUAUGAGGGUUGCCCAUGCUCAUGUCACAUUCCUGGGACUUGAGAGAAGGAAAUGUUUUUACAGGAGGAAAUGUGGGAUGGUGGUCUCGUAGGGUUAUUAGGCACGGACAUAACAGCUCUAAAGUUUUGCUGAUUGAUGAUCCUCGUCAUAUUCAAAAAAUUAGGCACAUCUGAGUUCGUAGCUCAGAUCACGAUGCAGCUGUUACUGCAUGAGCAAUGGAGCCUCCUUCAGGUAUGUAAUGAACCGAGGAACCUCAUGGCUCGGUUUAUUUUCUUCAUCUCUCCUGCAGCUUAACGUUCAGGCCUGGAACUUCCAUAGUGCUAUUUUUUUUUUUUUGAAAUAACAGGAAUGUGAUCAUGCACGUGAAACUUAUGAUUGUGUCACACUGCAAAAAACCAAUUAAAAGAUUUUACUUUUUGUUCAUUUGGACUUGGUGUUAAAACUAACUACAGUUACUGUUUGGAUGGACUUGUCCUGGUCUUCUAAUGGUUCAUAUGGACUGAUUAGGUAAGCACAAUCUUACUCCCAGCUAUUGGUAGUUACGAAUUUGCGAUCAAUCUGAAGUGAUCCAAGUCGUUGCUAUUAGAAGUCAUUGAAUGUUGCUUGGUGUCACCUAACAGAUCAUGGAGGUACAUUCAUCGAAUUCAUAGUUUUC